CUCAUCGAGGCCGGCGUUGUCUAAGUUUUAACUACCCUAGCUAGCCUCACCAAUUGCAAUUGUGUACACUAGCUAGUUGCAUCAAUCAAUCUCACUGCUAGUGGCGUGCGUGCGUGUGUGUCUAGUUAGGGCUACUUCUACUGCUGCUUCUCCUCAACCUCUUCUUCUUCUUCCUCUAGUUGCUCUCUCUGCUAUAAAGUGCCGUGGAGAUCAGGGGGUUGGGUACUGGAAGGUGAUGAGAGUACUCAAGUUGAUCGCCGGAGCAGCAUCAGCAUCAGCAUCAGCUUCACCAUGCGGGGAUCAGAUCAUCAUCAGGAUGUCGUCGCGGCACCGCGGGGCGGUGGCGGUGGAGGAGACGACGGGCAGGCGCACGACAUGGUGAUGCCGGGGUUCCGGUUCCACCCGACGGAGGAGGAGCUCAUCGAGUUCUACCUCCGGCGAAAGGUGGAGGGGAAGCGGUUCAACAUCGAGCUCAUCGCCUUCGUCGACCUCUACCGCUAUGACCCGUGGGAUCUUCCCGCUCUGGCCUCAAUUGGGGACAAGGAGUGGUUCUUCUAUGUGCCAAGGGACCGCAAGUACCGAAACGGCGAUCGGCCCAACCGAGUGACGCCAUCGGGGUACUGGAAGGCCACAGGGGCGGAUAGGAUGGUGAAGGUGGAGGGUGACCGUCCUAUCGGCCUCAAGAAGACGCUCGUCUUCUACGUCGGCAAGGCGCCCAAGGGGCUUCGCAGCAGCUGGAUCAUGAACGAGUAUCGUCUCCCUCAUGGCGACGCUGACCGCUACCAAAAGGAAAUUUCGCUGUGUCGAGUCUACAAACGCCCAGGAAUCGAAGACAACUUCCACCUCACCGGCACAACCACUAAAUCCUCCGGCUCAAAGGCGGCGGCGGCGAUGGGCAAGAAGCACGCCGCCGCGAACCGGACGUCAUCGACGGCGGCGGCUGCGGCGCCCCGCCUCGCCCCGAUGUUCGACGGCGGCGGCGGUGGCCAGGCACGGGCCACGGCAUCGGCGGCCAAGAAGCAGGCGGCGACGGCGGCGGCUGCCAAGCGCCGCCAUCCGCGUCGGCAUCGACGGCCAUGGAGCUUGCAGCGGCGGCGGCAUUCCACCUCGUCUCGUGUUUGCUCUCGCGUUUGCCAUCGGUGGUACGGGGCCCCGCUCACCCACGGGUCCCCUGCGGGGGCGGGGACGGGGGAUAUUUCCCACCCGACCACCUGUGCGGGGUCAGGGUCGGGGGGAGAAGUCGGGGAGCAGGGCGGGGGCGUUCCAGUCCAACCCACCCCGUUGCCAACCCUAUAGAAGGAAAGAGCUGAGGCAGACAGCAGCAGCAGAUCAUCAAAAUACUCAAACUAAGCUAAUCCAUCUCCCUCCAAGACCAAGAAUUCCAUUCCACUAGUUAAUCUCAAUCUCCUCUUUCGAGGAAUCUCAUCAACAAAAACAAAAAAAAAACAUUGCCGCAUCCGGAGUAGCUAGCGCGCUAAUUACAUUUACAUGGCGAUCCAAUCCAAUCCAGAUGCCGCAUCACCUUCCAUGGAUCUACAGACUACAGGUAGGAGGAGGAGGAGGAAGAAGAGGGUCGGCCAGCGGCGGCGAUGGACUUGGCGUCGGAGGGCAGCAGGACGAGGAGGAGGAGCACGGCGAAGAUGGCGACGGGCACGAGCAGCAGCAUCGGCGGCGGCGGCGGCAGCGGCGGCAGCAGCAGCGGCAGCACCAGCAGCGUCGCCGUCACCACCCCGAGCAGCACCGCCGCCUCCACCCCCAAGUACCCUCCUCCUCCUCCGCCUACUUCCACCGCCGCCGCCGUCUCCUCCACCACUCUCCGCUUCACUCCCACCUGUCCGUACAAUCUCCCUCCCGUCGCCGCCGCCGUGGACCUGUGCCCGGCCAUGGCGUCCUCCUCGUAACGCAGCAAGAUGACUCCUCGCAUCAAGAAGCAGAUGCAGAAGCGGAAGCAAUGGAGGAGAAGAAGACGAGGAGGAGGAGGAGGAGCUGAAGAAAUAGGCGGCGAAGAGAAGAAGCGUCCGUACGGGUGCCACUUGGCGGGAAGCACGCACGCGUGUGAAUGCCACGUGGGACGGCCACGUCGGACAGGGACAGGGAUGAUCCGACGGCUGGGAUUGAGCGGCGAGGGUGAAGCCGGCGAUGGGAUUGGAAACCGGGGAUACAAAACCGGUGGCGGGAUAGCGGAUUGGCCGCAGGAUUGGGAAAUAGAAAGGCGACGGGUGGAUGGUAUUUUGGGAGGUGCAUGCAUCUGUCCAUCAACAUCUUCAUCGGCUCAUCACUAUCGGCCUGCUUUAAUUCCUAACUUUUUCUUUAAAUUUUCAAUUUUUUCAUCACAUUAAAACUUUUCUAUACACAUAAACUGUCGACUUUUCCGUCACAUCGUUCCAAUUUCAACUAAACCUUUUAAUUUUAGCGUAAACUAAACACACCCAUCGUCUAGCUCCCUGUCACUCUGCUUCUGUUUCUGCUGCUGCUACCCCUGUCCUCUUCCUCUUCACUGCUCCUCCUUUUCUUCGCCUUUGGUUGCUUCCAGGCUCCAGCUCCAGCCAAUCCAGCGAGAUACCGACAAGCAGAUGGUUGGUAAACAUUUUCUGAGGAUUUAAAAAAGCUAAGUUUUUUUUUAGCUUUCGACUUCUAAUUUAUUUUUUUAGAUUCUAUAAUUACAGCUUAUUAGGAUCUUAACUAAAAGCUGAACUAUUUACGAAAGCUUCUAAUUCUAGAAGAAUUUACAGUAGCCAGCUCCUCUAGACAAACCUCACUAUAUAGGCCUGGUUUAGUUCCUAACCUUUUUUUUAAAACUUUCAACUUUUCUAUCACAUCAAAACUUUUCUACACACACAAACAUCUAAUUUUUCCGUCACAUUAUUUCAAUUUCAAUCAAACUUUUCUAUUUUUAAUGUGAACUAAACACACCCAUACUCCUAUUGUACGUACGGCUCUGCACUAUGCAUUGCAUGCAUGCCAUUAUCGAUCCUAUCCACUGCUCGCUUUCAUCCCACAAAUAUCCAGGACUUCUGGUGAUGAUAAUUACGAGUAUAGUAUUUGUAGCAGUAAUCGGCAUUGCUUCAGUGUGUGGCAAGUGGAUUAGCAACAGCACCAGCAGUACUGCAGUACAUGUCGAGAUGCAGGCCCGGUUUAGUUCCAACACAAAACUUUUACACCCUGCCAUAUUAAACAUUUGAACACCUAGAUAAAAUAUUAAAUAUAGGGUACAAAUUAAC